rnacentral:rRNA from 1 species
UGGAACUCCAUGUGUAGCGGUGGAAUGCGUAGAUAUAUGGAAGAACACCAGUGGCGAAGGCGGCUGUCUAGUCUGUAACUGACGCUGAGGCUCGAAAGCAUGGGUAGCGAACAGGAUUAGAUACCCUGGUAGUCCAUGCCGUAAACGAUGAGUGCUAAGUGUUGGAGGGUUUCCCCCUUCAGUGCUGCAGCUAACGCAUUAAGCACUCCGCCUGGGGAGUACGACCGCAAGGUUGAAACUCAAAGGAAUUGACGGGGGCCCGCACAAGCGGUGGAGCAUGUGGUUUAAUUCGAAGCUACGCGAAGAACCUUACCAGGUCUUGACAUCUUCUGCCAAUCUUAGAGAUAAGACGUUCCCUUCGGGGACAGAAUGACAGGUGGUGCAUGGUUGUCGUCAGCUCGUGUCGUGAGAUGUUGGGUUAAGUCCCGCAACGAGCGCAACCCUUAUUAUCAGUUGCCAGCAUUCAGUUGGGCACUCUGGUGAGACUGCCGGUGACAAACCGGAGGAAGGUGGGGAUGACGUCAAAUCAUCAUGCCCCUUAUGACCUGGGCUACACACGUGCUACAAUGGACGGUACAACGAGUCGCGAAGUCGUGAGGCUAAGCUAAUCUCUUAAAGCCGUUCUCAGUUCGGAUUGUAGGCUGCAACUCGCCUACAUGAAGUUGGAAUCGCUAGUAAUCGCGGAUCAGCAUGCCGCGGUGAAUACGUUCCCGGGCCUUGUACACACCGCCCGUCACACCAUGAGAGUUUGUAACACCCAAAGCCGGUGAGAUAACCUUCGGGAGUCAGCCGUCUAAGGUGGGACAGAUGAUUAGGGUGAAGUCGUAACAAGGUAACCAGGGCG